rnacentral:lncRNA from 1 species
AAAAAUUGUUUUAAAAAUAUAUACCAAGAAAUCUCACUCCCCUCUCUGUCCCUGCACCUCAUUUCACCAUUUUUAUUAGUUUCUCAUUUAUUCAAUUUUUAAGUAAAUAAAAGCAAAUGUGUUUAUACAUAUCACCUUCUUAUCAUAUAUAUGGUGGCAUAACAUAUACAUGAUUAUGUACUGUUUUCUUUCUCUUUACAAAAACAUUCUAAAAAUUGUUCCCCAUCUGUACAUAGAAAUUUUCUAAUAGUUUUUUUAAACCCUGUUUUUCUCUGCAGGAUAAAAAAUAAAAGUUUCUUUAACCAGAUCUUUAUUGCUGGAUAUUUACAUUGUUUCUAAUCAUUGGUUCUGAAGAAAGCCACAGAUAUUUUGUUCCAGAAAUUGUGCAAGUCAUGGCCAGCAAGGAGAAUUAUAUGAUGGUGUUCCUCCAAGAGUGAUAAAUUUUGACAGUCAGUUUAGCAGGAAGCACAGUUUUCAUUCCCAUCUCAUGAUCCAAGUACCAAGAAGUUCUCUUCAUAACAUGUAUAAUUUCCAAAAAUUUAAAGCUUGAUUUCCCUACAAAUAAAAAGUGAACAUGUAUCAAAGAUCUAAUUAAUCCACUAAUGAGGAAACCAGUAACUUGGUAAGGCAGAUCCAAAGUAAAUAUGAGAAAACACAAGUAUUUAUUACAGCAGAGGACAGGAUGCUUCAUUUAGAUUGCUAAUUUAGUAUAAAACUGAUUAGUUUCCUAGAGGGCAUUAAAACUAUAAUUUUGCUGAUGUCAUUUGAAUCUCUACCAAAUAAAAUUUAUUU